CGUUCGUUACUUUUGUAAAUGUGACUCUGUCACAAAAUUGACUUAUCCCUGUCCUAUUAAGUGAACCCUACAACAGUUAUCCAAACAGAUCAAAACCUUGACCGACUGCCAUCCCUUCCCAAGAUCUCACAUCGUCUUCUCAGGGGAAAUCCAUAGGCGUCGUGUGUUUUCGGAGCCCAGGCGGGGAAGUGUGGUCACCCAGAAAACAACACACUAGUAUUGUUUGUGUUACCGUAAAUGUAUGUGUGUUGGUUGGAUGUAGAAAAUUCCACUUAGCGCUUUAGCGGCUAUCCGCUUCCUGUCCUUUCUGUUCGUGAUCGCCUGAGGGAGCAGUUGUGCGCGACUUGAGUUUUUCAAACAAAAAACAGUGCGAAAAACAAACACAACACGUUAAAAGUAAAGCUAAAUUAUGUUAAAUUUGCUUUGUUAGUACGAAAGUGACAAAGGCAUAAACAACUGUUAAAACGACAUUAAAACGAAGCACAUUGUAAAACUGCAGAUAAAAGGUCCACAAGGGCCUUUUUCUGUUUGGCUGGUUCUUACGAACCACACCAUAAUUAUCCCCAGGCAACCAACAGUUCCGGACAGAAAACACCGUUCGAGACCGGAGUCGAGCAAGCACUUGGCAUCGACUCGAACAUAACCUCGUCUUGGACCGGUCAGCAUCAAAACAACAUCUUUUAGCCCGACGCUGGUGUCGAAAGGUCAACAAACAACAAUCAUACCAGCAUGCUUUAUUUCCGGCCGUUCCCAACUAUGCUAGAACCGGCAAGUAUUGGGGCGGCAUUUUGCAUGUCAAUCGUCUCCAGCCAGGUGCCUCCGUUACUGGUUGAGACGGUGAAUAAUAAGCCGACAGAGGAAUCGCAGCCGCGCGGCGAUUAACCAACGCCGAGGAAGAACCAAAGCCGCAAGUAUUAAUAGUGUGUGACGUCAUGCCAGGGCCCA